ACGUCAUCCCCACCUUCCUCCAGCUUAUCGCUGGCGGUCUCCUGCGAGUUCCGCCUUUCGGCAUGGCAACACAGGACAAGGGUUGCGCUCGUUGCGGGACUUAACCCAACAUCUCACGACACGAGCUGACGACAGCCAUGCAGCACCUCGACUGGACCCCCUUGCGGGGUAGCGAUGUUUCCACCGCCGUUAACCAGCCGUUCGAGCCCAGGUAAGGUUCUUCGCGUUGCGUCGAAUUGAACCACAUGCUCCACCGCUUGUGCGGGCCCCCGUCAAUUCCUUUGAGUUUCAGCCUUGCGACUGUACUCCCCAGGCGGCAUAUUUAACGCGUUAGCUCCGGCACGGAUCAACUGAAUGACCCACACCAAAUAUGCAUCGUUUAGGGCGUGGACUACCAGGG
rnacentral:misc_RNA from 1 species